GGACGAACGCUGGCGGCGUGCUUAACACAUGCAAGUCGAGCGAUGAAGCUUCUUCGGAAGUGGAUUAGCGGCGGACGGGUGAGUAACACGUGGGUAACCUGCCUCAUAGAGGGGAAUAGCCUUCCGAAAGGAAGAUUAAUACCGCAUAAGAUUGUAAUAUCGCAUGAUAUAGCAAUUAAAGGAGCAAUCCGCUAUGAGAUGGACCCGCGUCGCAUUAGCUAGUUGGUGAGGUAACGGCUCACCAAGGCGACGAUGCGUAGCCGACCUGAGAGGGUGAUCGGCCACAUUGGGACUGAGACACGGCCCAGACUCCUACGGGAGGCAGCAGUGGGGAAUAUUGCACAAUGGGGGAAACCCUGAUGCAGACCAACGCCGCGUGAGUGAUGACGGUCUUCGGAUUGUAAAGCUCUGUCUUCAGGGACGAUAAUGACGGUACCUGAGGAGGAAGCCACGGCUAACUACGUGCCAGCCGCUGC
rnacentral:rRNA from 1 species